rnacentral:piRNA from 1 species
UCUUGAGGAAAAUAAAAUACAACAACAA